ACUCUCUUAGUAUAAGAAAUAUGACUGACUUCCAAUUAGUUGAUUCUGAUAAACCUCAGAAGAGAGUA
rnacentral:tRNA from 1 species